CCUACGGGUGGCAGCAGUGGGGGAUAUUGCACAAUGGGGGGAACCCUGAUGCAGCGACGCCGCGUGGGUGAAGAAGCGCCUAGGCGCGUAAAGCCCUGUCAGCAGGGAAGAAAAUGACGGUACCUGAAGAAGAAGCCCCGGCUAACUACGUGCCAGCAGCCGCGGUAAUACGUAGAGAGCGAGCGUUGUCCGGAAGUACUGGGUGUAAAGGGGGCGUAGGCGGGGAUGCAAGUUGGGUGUUAAAUCUACCGGCUCAACUGGUAGUCGCAGUCAAAACUGCAGCUCUUGAGUGGAGUAGAGGCAGGCGGAAUUCCUAGUGUAGCGGUGAAAUGCGUAGAUAUUAGGAGGAACACCAGUGGCGAAGGCGGCCUGCUGGGCUUUUACUGACGCUGAGGCUCGAAAGUGUGGGGAGCAAACAGGAUUAGAUACCCCAGUAGUC
rnacentral:rRNA from 1 species